AGCAGCCGCGGUAAUUCCAGCUCCAAUAGCGUAUAUUAAAGUUGUUGCAGUUAAAAGGCUCGUAGUUGAAUUUUGGGUCUGGCCGGGCGGUCCGCCCUCUGGGUGAGCACUGUUCCGACGCCGGGCCUAUCCUUCUGGUGAGUCGGCAUGUCCUUUAUUGGGUGUGCCGGGGAACCAGGACCAUUACCUUGAAAAAAAUUAGAGUGUUCAAAGCAGGCGUAUGCUCGGAUACAUUAGCAUGGAAUAAUGAAAUAGGACGCGUGGUGCUAUUUUGUUGGUUUCUAGAACCGCCGUAAUGAUUAAUAGGGAUAGUUGGGGGCAUUAGUAUUCAAUUGUCAGAGGUGAAAUUCUUGGAUUUAUUGAAGACUAACUUCUGCGAAAGCAUUUGCCAAGGAUGUUUUCAUUAAUCAAGAACGAAAGUUAGGGGAUCGAAGACGAUCAGAUACCGUCGUAGUCUUAACCAUAAACUAUGCCGACUAGGAAUCGGGCGAUGUUAUUCUCAUGACUCGCCCGGCGCCUU
rnacentral:misc_RNA from 2 species